UAACCUGCCCAAGAGAUCGGGAUAACACCUGGAAACAGAUGCUAAUACCGGAUAACAACAGAUGAUGCCUAUCAACUGUUUAAAAGAUGGUUCUGCUAUCACUCUUGGAUGGACCUGCGGUGCAUUAGCUAGUUGGUAGGGUAACGGCCUACCAAGGCGAUGAUGCAUAGCCGAGUUGAGAGACUGAUCGGCCACAUCGGGACUGAGACACGGCCCAAACUCCUACGGGAGGCAGCAGUC
rnacentral:rRNA from 1 species